CCCGUACACACGGGACGACAUGUGGCUCGGGUGGUCCACCGGACCACCGCAACCGAGCGGCGGAGCCGCGAGGGGAGAGCUGAAUCGCAAG
rnacentral:ncRNA from 1 species